rnacentral:rRNA from 1 species
UGGGGAAUAUUGGGCAAUGGGGGGGACCCUGACCCAGCAACGCCGCGUGAGGGAAGAAGGUUUUCGGAUUGUAAACCUCUGUUCUUGGAGAAGAGUGGAAGACGGUAUCCAAGGAGGAAGCCCCGGCUAACUACGUGCCAGCAGCCGCGGUAAUACGUAGGGGGCGAGCGUUGUCCGGAAUGAUUGGGCGUAAAGGGCGCGCAGGCGGCCAUUCAAGUCAGUAGUGGAAGUCCAUUUUUCAAGGGUGGAAGUGCUAUUGAAACUGUAUGGCUUGAGUGCGGGAGAGGUUAUCGGAAUUCCCGGUGUAGCGGUGAAAUGCGUAGAGAUCGGGAGGAACACCAGUGGCGAAGGCGGGUAACUGGACCGCAACUGACGCUGAGGCGCGAAAGUGUGGGGAGCAAACAG